AUUGAACGCUGGCGGCAGGCCUAACACAUGCAAGUCGAGCGGAGUUGCGAACGGGUGAGUAAUGCGUAGGUAACUACCUAUUAGAGGGGGAUAACUAUUGGAAACGAUAGCUAAUACCGCAUACUAGUAGAUGGAACUGCGUUGUAUGAGCUAGUAGGUAGGGUAAUGGCCUACCUAGGCAACGAUACAUAGCCGACCUGAGACGGUGGUCGGCCAAACUGGGACUGAGACACGGCCCAGACGCCCUAGGGUGGCAGCAGUAGGGAAUCUUCGGCCAUGGGGGGAACCUUGACCGAGCAACGGCGCGUGCGUGUAGAAGGUUUUCGGAUCGUAAAGCUCUGUUGUUAAGGAAGCGGUACUUAACCAGAAAGGACCGGCUAACUACGUGCCAGCAGCCGCGGUAAUAC
rnacentral:rRNA from 1 species